UACGUAGGGGCCAAGCGUUGUCCGGAGUUACUGGGCGUAAAGCGUGCGCAGGCGGCUCGUUGCGCCCGACGUGAAAGCCCCCGGCUCAACCGGGGAGGGUCGUCGGGGACGGGCGAGCUUGAGGGUGUCAGGGGCUGGUGGAACUCCCGGUGUAGUGGUGAAAUGCGUAGAGAUCGGGAAGAACACCCGUGGCGAAGGCGGCCAGCUGGGACACACCUGACGCUGAGGCACGAAGGCGUGGGGAGCGAACAGG
rnacentral:rRNA from 1 species